rnacentral:rRNA from 1 species
CAGUAGCCACGGUAAUACGGAGGGUGCGAGCGUUAAUCGGAAUUACUGGGCGUAAAGCGUACGCAGGCGGUCUGUUAAGUCAGAUGUGAAAUCCCCGGGCUUAACCCGGGAACUGCAUUUGAAACUGGCAGGCUAGAGUCUCGUAGAGGGGGGUAGAAUUCCAGGUGUAGCGGUGAAAUGCGUAGAGAUCUGGAGGAAUACCGGUGGCGAAGGCGGCCCCCUGGACGAAGACUGACGCUCAGGUACGAAAGCGUGGGGAGCAAACAGGAUUAGAUACCCGAGUAGUCCCUGUCUCUUAUAC